rnacentral:lncRNA from 1 species
AGAUGCCCUGUCACUUCUAUCAGGGGAAAGCCUGCCUGAGAAUGAAGCCAGCUGAGAGGAGGAAAGAGAAGUUGGAGUCCUAAUGGCACUUUUAGAUCCAGCCCCCAUAAAGCCAGUUCCACUCCUAAAUGUCUCAGUUACUUGAGGCAAUAUAGAUUCCCUUUUCCCCUUCUUGUUGGAUUUCUGAUUCCCUUUUCUCCUUCUUGUUGGAUUUCUGAUUCCCUUUUCUCCUUCUUGUUGGAUUUCUGAUCUCUUCAUCUCUGAAUCUUGAGUGACAUAAACUUCUGAUGCUAACGUUUGAGAAUCUACGAAGAUGAACCAAUCGUGCCCACGUGGAAAACUACAUGAAUUAAGAAAGCAUAAGCCAUAAGGUACAAGGAAAUGCAAGUUCAUGGAUAUUAGAAAUAAUACCAAAAUCCGAAUAAGACCGGGUUUAGAGGUCGCAUGGAAUCUGCUGAAUAUGGUUGUCUGGAGUGAUUUUUUUGGCCUUCUCAGUUUGCCAAGACAGGUAGGUGUACCAUUUGGUCUAGCCCGUGUAACAAUUUUCUGUGGUAACUGUCCAGGUUGAAGAUUGUUGUCAUAGAAUGGUGAUGCCGAAACAACUGAAAUGUUUACAGUACACAAAGAAAAACAGUCAACAUUACCAGGCGAUACAGACUAUUUGUUUAUUAUGAAACUAACUGGUAAAGCAGAGUAAAUCCCAUUCUAUAUUAUAGCACUACAAACAUCCUUAGUCAUUCCUUCAUUUGUUCAUUCAUUCAUUCAUGCAUUCAGUGAGUAUUUCUUAAGCUCCUACAGUGUACCAGGAGGCACUCUGUUCAUUGUGGCAUUACAAAGAUAAAGAUUAAGGCACGUACUCUGCCCUCAAGGAGCUCCCAAUCUAAUUGUGCAGAGAGAUGU